UACGUAGGGUGCAAGCGUUGUCCGGAAUUAUUGGGCGUAAAGAGCUCGUAGGCGGUCUGUCGCGUCGGCUGUGAAAACUCGGGGCUCAACCCCGAGCCUGCAGUCGAUACGGGCAGACUAGAGUGCUGUAGGGGAGACUGGAAUUCCUGGUGUAGCGGUGAAAUGCGCAGAUAUCAGGAGGAACACCAAUGGCGAAGGCAGCUCGCUGGAACGGUACUGACGCUGAGGCGCGAAAGCGUGGGGAGCGAACAGG
rnacentral:rRNA from 1 species